UGGCGGCGUGCCUAAUACAUGCAAGUCGAGCGGAUCGAUGGGAGCUUGCUCCCUGAGAUCAGCGGCGGACGGGUGAGUAACACGUGGGUAACCUGCCUGUAAGACUGGGAUAACUCCGGGAAACCGGGGCUAAUACCGGAUAACACCUACCCCCGCAUGGGGGAAGGUUGAAAGGUGGCUUCGGCUAUCACUUACAGAUGGACCCGCGGCGCAUUAGCUAGUUGGUGAGGUAACGGCUCACCAAGGCGACGAUGCGUAGCCGACCUGAGAGGGUGAUCGGCCACACUGGGACUGAGACACGGCCCAGACUCCUACGGGAGGCAGCAGUAGGGAAUCUUCCGCAAUGGACGAAAGUCUGACGGAGCAACGCCGCGUGAGUGAAGAAGGUUUUCGGAUCGUAAAACUCUGUUGUUAGGGAAGAACAAGUGCCGUUCGAAUAGGGCGGCACCUUGACGGUACCUAACCAGAAAGCCACGGCUAACUACGU
rnacentral:rRNA from 1 species